rnacentral:rRNA from 1 species
UAGGGAAUCUUCGGCAAUGGGGGGAACCCUGACCGAGCAACGCCGCGUGAGUGAAGAAGGUUUUCGGAUCGUAAAGCUCUGUUGUUAAGGAAGAACGAGUGUGAGAAUGGAAAGUUCAUACUGUGACGGUACUUAACCAGAAAGGGACGGCUAACUACGUUCCAGCAGCCGCGGUAAUACGUAGGUCCCGAGCGUUGUCCGGAUUUAUUGGGCGUAAAGCGAGCGCAGGCGGUUAGAUAAGUCUGAAGUUAAAGGCAGUGGCUCAACCAUUGUAGGCUUUGGAAACUGUUUAACUUGAGUGCAGAAGGGGAGAGUGGAAUUCCAUGUGUAACGGUGAAAUGCGUAGAUAUAUGGAGGAACACCAGUGGCGAAGGCGACUCUCUGGUCUGUAACUGACGCUGAGGCUCGAAAGCGUGGGUAGCAAACAGG